rnacentral:piRNA from 1 species
UCUCGGAAUACCCUGCUGGACCAGAACC